CUGACAUCAUGGCACUCUAGCCCGGGCAACAGAGUUGAGACUCUAUCUCAAAAACAAAACAAAAAAAACACCAGGCUUUGCUCCUGGAGGUCAUCGUCCAUCUUUCACUUCUGUUGCCCCAGCAGCUACACACUGCUUGGAACUUAGUGGGCCUUCAGUAAUGUUUCUUUAAUGACCGGAUGGAUAAAUGAAUUCAGAAGUGAAUGAAGGGAUUGAGGAACUUUCACUUUGGUUCCAUAGCCUUUUAUAUUAUUUCUCAUGGCACAGAUGUCCAUGGAGAAAGUACAAGAUGCUGAAGUGUGCCCCAUAUAUUUCUUGCUAAUUUCAAAGGGAAGAAAUUGUACUUUUAUGAUGAAGAGCUCUGGUAUCAACAUUCUAACUGCAUGAUUGUUAAUAUGAGUCAGGCUGACAUCACAAGUACCCAUGAAGUAUUCUUGCAAAAUGUUUACCUUAAUGUAAUUGAUUUAAACAGAACUUUCAGUUCAUAGGAAAUAUAGGGAUAGAGGAACAAGUUAAAUGACAUCAUAAAAAUAUUAAGCAAACUAGAGGGUGGAACACUCAACAAGAUAACAGGCUAAGUUUCUUCAAAAAGAUAAUUCCCUAGAUACAUUGAAUUUAUUCCAAAAAGUACAAUAUUGAAAGGGUUGGGAGGAGAGUAACUUUACACUGAAGGAGCCAGACAAACACUACUUCAGCCAUAAGGUCAAGGUCAACAAAGUAGCAAUAAGUCAUAUUAUGCUUGGUACUCAUAUACAAAAAGGUAGCCUUUCUCCUUGAGGAGCUUGGAUUGCCAAAUGUUCACAUCUAGUAGUAUUAACUUCCAAAGAAAGUGAAUUUAAAAAGUAACUGUAGUAUUUACGUGUAGCUCAGAAAGUAAUAAUCUUGUUCAAUUUGGUGUACCUAAAUGUUAUAUCAUUUUGGACAGCGAAAGUUGUAGGUAAUUUGAGAGCAAGGUCAGUAUGAUGGCAGAAUAAGAAGGCCCGUGCCCUUUUUUUCCCCCAAGGAGACACCAAUUUAGCAACAAUAUAUGGACCAAAUGGCCUUUAUGAGAACUCCAGAAACCAAUUAAGAGCUUGCAGCACCCCAGGUGAGCACAAAGCCAAGAAAAGCCACAUCAAAGUGGGUAAGAAGGUUUAUUGCAGUAGCCUGCCAUAGCCUCUUCCUCCCCCCAGCACAGUGUGGAGUGACUGGGAGAAAACUUCCAACUUCUGACUUCUUCAUGUGGAAAAGAGAAAAGUGGAACAUGCAUCCAACAUUCUGGUUUUUCAGGGAGCUGUCUGAAGGACUGGUCUCUGUCUUGCCUGACUCAAGGCCAUCAAGCCUAGGAGAAAGAGCUGUUUUUCCAACUGUCCAAAUCACCACAAAUGAUCGCAAGGCAUACAAAGAAACAUGGGAACAUGGCUCAAUGAAAGGAACAAAAUCUCCAGAAAUGAGCCCUACCAAAAGAAGUAGAAAUCUAUACAUUACCUGACAAAGAAUUCAAAAUAACUGUCUAAAAGAUGCUCAAUCAGCUUAAAAAAAAAAAAAA